UACGGAGGAUCCAAGCGUUAUCCGGAUUUAUUGGGUUUAAAGGGUGCGUAGGCGGCCUGUUAAGUCAGGGGUGAAAGACGGUAGCUCAACUAUCGCAGUGCCCUUGAUACUGAUAGGCUUGAAUGAACUAGAGGUAGGCGGAAUGUGACAAGUAGCGGUGAAAUGCAUAGAUAUGUCACAGAACACCGAUUGCGAAGGCAGCUUACUAUGGUUUUAUUGACGCUGAGGCACGAAAGCGUGGGGAUCAAACAGG
rnacentral:rRNA from 1 species